AGAGUUUGAUCCUGGCUCAGGAUGAACGCUGGCGGUAUGCUUAACACAUGCAAGUCGAACGGAAUGCUUAGGCAUUUAGUGGCGGACGGGUGAGUAACGCGUGAGAAUCUACAUUCAGGUCGGGGACAACCACUGGAAACGGUGGCUAAUACCGGAUGUGCCGAGAGGUGAAAGGCUUGCCGCCUGAGAAAGAGCUCGCGUCUGAUUAGCUAGUUGGGGGUGUAAGAGACCACCAAGGCGACGAUCAGUAGCUGGUCUGAGAGGAUGAUCAGCCACACUGGGACUGAGACACGGCCCAGACUCCUACGGGAGGCAGCAGUGGGGAAUUUUCCGCAAUGGGCGAAAGCCUGACGGAGCAAUACCGCGUGAGGGAGGAAGGCUCUUGGGUUGUAAACCUCUUUUCUCAGGGAAGAAAAAAAUGACGGUACCUGAGGAAUAAGCAUCGGCUAACUCCGUGCCAGCAGCCGCGGUAAUACGGAGGAUGCAAGCGUUAUCCGGAAUGAUUGGGCGUAAAGGGUCCGCAGGUGGCACUGUAAGUCUGCUGUCAAAGAGCAAGGCUCAACCUUGUAAAGGCAGUGGAAACUACAGAGCUAGAGUACGUUCGGGGCAGAAGGAAUUCCUGGUGUAGCGGUGAAAUGCGUAGAGAUCAGGAAGAACACCGGUGGCGAAAGCGUUCUGCUAGGCCUGUACUGACA
rnacentral:rRNA from 1 species